AUCAGCUCCAGGUCCCCUCUACUUUCAACCAUGGAUGUAUUAAGAGAACUGGAUAUAGCGUUGGAGGUGGGGCCCCGUUCAUUCCUAUGAAAGUUGCUCAGUGGCACAUGAAGGCAAAAUGGCUGGACUUCCGCCUGGAAAAGUACUCGGAUCUUCCGGCGAUCUUCCGCAUCCAUUGGGCCCAUGGAACAUGCGCAGGAGCGUCCGCUCGGUCACAUGGCUCGAUCACAGGGUCCCAACGUCACGCUUUUGUCACGGCUUGCGCUGUC